AUGUAUUUGCAUGAUGUCAGGGCUAAUAAGGGCUAAAGGUUAACACAAUGUCAGAUCCAGCUUGAAACAUUCAGUCCUUUUCAGUUUGACUUGACAUUUUACAUCCCGAUGGAUGAUUGGAAUUCUGCUGAAAAUAAUCAGCGAACGGAUCCAUAAUGAACGUGGCAUUAGCUGCAACCUUAUUCAUCUGAAUGUAAAUGAAUACCUCUCUGCACCAACAGUCUACUGUCUGUCAGUGAUAAAUAAAGCAUAGACUUUUAUAAACA